rnacentral:pre_miRNA from 1 species
CAUCUACUCCCUCCGUUCGAAAUUACUUGUCGUAAAAAUGGAUGUAUCUAGACAUUUUUUAGUUCUAGAUACAUCCAUUUCUGCGACAAGUAAUUCGGAACGGAGGGAGUACGAA